rnacentral:rRNA from 1 species
GUAGGUGGCAAGCGUUGUCCGGGAAUUAUUGGGGCGUAAAGCGCGCGCAGGCGGUUCUUUAAGUCUGAUGUGAAAGCCCACGGGCUCAACCGUGGAGGGUCAUUGGAAACUGGAGAACUUGAGUACAGAAGAGGAAAGCGGAAUUCCACGUGUAGCGGUGAAAUGCGUAGAGAUGUGGAGGAACACCAGUGGCGAAGGCGGCUUUCUGGUCUGUAACUGACGCUGAGGCGCGAAAGCGUGGGGAGCAAACAGGAUUAGAUACCCCUGGUAGUCCACGCCGUAAACGAUGAGUGCUAAGUGUUAGGGGGUUUCCGCCCCUUAGUGCUGCAGCUAACGCAUUAAGCACUCCGCCUGGGGGAGUACGGCCGCAAAGGCUGA